rnacentral:rRNA from 1 species
GACGAACGCUGGCGGCGUGCUUAACACAUGCAAGUCGAACGGAAAGGCCCUGCUUGCAGGGUACUCGAGUGGCGAACGGGUGAGUAACACGUGGGUGAUCUGCCCUGCACUUCGGGAUAAGCCUGGGAAACUGGGUCUAAUACCGGAUAGGAGCCAUUUUUAGUGUGAUGGUUGGAAAGUUUUUUCGGUGUAGGAUGAGCUCGCGGCCUAUCAGCUUGUUGGUGGGGUAAUGGCCUACCAAGGCGGCGACGGGUAGCCGGCCUGAGAGGGUGGACGGCCACAUUGGGACUGAGUUACGGCCCAGACUCCUACGGGGGGCAGCAGUGGGGAAGAUUGCGCAAGGGGCGCAAGCCUGAUGCAGGGAAGCCGGGUGGGGGAUGACGGCCUUCGGGUUGUAAACUCCGUUCGCUAGGGACGAAGCUUUUUGUGACGGUACCUAGAUAAGAAGCACCGGCUAACUACGUG